UUAACACACCUGUUGCCUGGAUCGUCCCUCCUGUGUCAGAUCCCAGGCCUGCUUCCUGGUUUGUUUUCACAUUCCAGUGUCUUUACGGACUGUAUGACUUUCCCUGCUUGUGCUGCAACCAUCAUGUCGUCUAUUGAGUCCAACAAGAUUCCUGAAAACAGAUCCACACCAUAAUCCCGUCUGUUUGACACAAUUCUGCCUGGCAAGCAAAGUUAGUUCUGGAGGCCAAACCCAGUUUCGGUGAUUUGGAGGGGUACAACAAUGGGCUACAAAACUGACAGUCGCCAAGGGUACGACAGCAACAGCUUCGCGGUGUCACCUUGGUGAUGGCUGCUCAGUGAUGGAGGAGGUUGUUAAGUAGAGGCGACAUGUGAUACUGACACAGCAGGGAGCACAGUACCGGAUGCCAGCUUCCUAACUGUUGACAUUGAGCCCUUUAAUGCCAGGUGAAAAAGCCCCUUCUGCAACUCACUUCCAUUUUGAAGUCAUUUUAGUUAACUUCUAAAUGAAGCGUGUGUGUGUCAGCCCAGGGUCUUUUUUGUGUCCUGUUUUUGGCAUUUCAGCGAUCCCAUAUAGCUAGAAUGGUUGUCUACGUCUCCCAGGGCAGAUCUCUUCUCUCAGGAUAUCUGAAGAUUGUAUCCUGAUUGCAUGAUUGACUUUAUUAAAUCAACACUGCACACAGCAUCAAAGUGAGCAGACCACAGUGAUGGAAUUGUAACCUGUGUUUCAAUGCCCUUCAACCACUUGGACUAUAUAUGUGUGUGUGUGUGUGUGUGUGUGUGUGUGUGUGUGUGUGUGUGUGUAUCUGCACCAUCUUUUCUGUGCAAACCUCUGGUAUUUGUAGAGACUUACUGUGAACGCUGCAGUCAGGGGCGUUCAAUUACACAGUCGCUCAUAAUAAAAAGGGGGAAAUGACAAUAGCAAUUAAUUCACCUUGGCUACAAAUACACUAAAUUCAAAAGUCGAUACUUGCUGCUGACACAAUAGAACUUAAAGAUUUUGUCACUAGUUCAAUUGCCCUAGCUUCAAAGUU